GUGUGCAGAGGGGCUCGGUAGCUCGCCUGCCAAAGUGUUCGGUGGGGGUGCGGCAACCUCUGUUCCCCGUGAUCUGCACCGGAGGUGGCAGUUGUAGGCCGGAGUCGGGGAGACCCAGGGCACCUAGAAAUGGAUUCAGUGGUCUAUGAGGAUGUGGCUGUGAAGUUCACUCUGGAGGAGUGGGUCUAACUGGAUCCUUCACAGAAGAAACUCUACAGAGAUGUGAUGAGGGAAACCUUCAGGAACCUGGCCUCCAUAGGUAAAAGAUGGGAAGAACAUGACAUUGAAGACCAAUACAAAAACCA